rnacentral:rRNA from 1 species
GAGUUUGAUUAUGGCUCAGAUUGAACGCUGGCGGCAUGCUUUACACAUGCAAGUCGAACGGCAGCACAGGGAGCUUGCUCCUGGGUGGCGAGUGGCGAACGGGUGAGUAAUGUAUCGGAACGUGCCUGGUAGUGGGGGAUAACUACUCGAAAGAGUGGCUAAUACCGCAUGAGAUCUUUGGAUGAAAGCGGGGGACCUUCGGGCCUCGCGCUACUGGAGCGGCCGAUAUCAGAUUAGGUUGUUGGUGGGGUAAAGGCCUACCAAGCCUGCGAUCUGUAGCUGGUCUGAGAGGACGACCAGCCACACUGGGACUGAGACACGGCCCAGACUCCUACGGGAGGCAGCAGUGGGGAAUUUUGGACAAUGGGCGCAAGCCUGAUCCAGCAAUGCCGCGUGCAGGACGAAGGCCUUCGGGUUGUAAACUGCUUUUGUACAGAACGAAAAGUCUCUGGCUAAUAUCUGGAGAUCAUGACGUACUUAAGAAUAAGCACCGG